rnacentral:rRNA from 1 species
GACGAACGCUGGCGGCGUGCCUAAUACAUGCAAGUCGAGCGGACCAAAGGGAGCUUGCUCCUGGAGGUUAGCGGCGAACGGGUGAGUAACACGUGGGCAACCUGCCUGUAAGACUGGGAUAACAUCGAGAAAUCGGUGCUAAUACCGGAUAAUAAAAAGAACUGCAUGGUUCUUUUUGAAAGAUGGUUUCGGCUAUCACUUACAGAUGGGCCCGCGGCGCAUUAGCUAGUUGGUGAGGUAACGGCUCACCAAGGCGACGAUGCGUAGCCGACCUGAGAGGGUGAUCGGCCACACUGGGACUGAGACACGGCCCAGACUCCUACGGGAGGCAGCAGUAGGGAAUCUUCCGCAAUGGACGAAAGUCUGACGGAGCAACG